GUUUGAUCCUGGCUCAGAGUGAACGCUGGCGGUAGGCCUAACACAUGCAAGCCGAACGGCAGCACAGAGGAGCUUGCUCCUUGGGUGGCGAGUGGCGGACGGGUGAGGAAUACAUCGGAAUCUACUCUGUCGUGGGGGAUAACGUAGGGAAACUUACGCUAAUACCGCAUACGACCUACGGGUGAAAGCAGGGGAUCUUCGGACCUUGCGCGAUUGAAUGAGCCGAUGUCGGAUUAGCUAGUUGGCGGGGUAAAGGCCCACCAAGGCGACGAUCCGUAGCUGGUCUGAGAGGAUGAUCAGCCACACUGGAACUGAGACACGGUCCAGACUCCUACGGGAGGCAGCAGUGGGGAAUAUUGGACAAUGGGCGCAAGCCUGAUCCAGCCAUACCGCGUGGGUGAAGAAGGCCUUCGGGUUGUAAAGCCCUUUUGUUGGGAAAGAAAUCCAGCUGGCUAAUACCCGGUUGGGAUGACGGUACCCAAAGAAUAAGCACCGGCUAACUUCGUGCCAGCAGCCGCGGUAAUACGAAGGGUGCAAGCGUUACUCGGAAUUACUGGGCGUAAAGCGUGCGUAGGUGGUCGUUUAAGUCCGUUGUGAAAGCCCUGGGCUCAACCUGGGAACUGCAGUGGAUACUGGGCGACUAGAGUGUGGUAGAGGGUAGCGGAAUUCCUGGUGUAGCAGUGAAAUGCGUAGAGAUCAGGAGGAACAUCCAUGGCGAUGCAGCUACCUGGACCAACACUGACACUGAGGC
rnacentral:rRNA from 1 species